rnacentral:lncRNA from 1 species
UAUAGAAGUUUAAAUGCAGUGGGUUGGAUCACGAAAGAGAUGGCAAGUAUGUCCAUGUAGUGAGUUGUUGCCCCUUUUCUAGAAGGAUGUUACUGGCUAAGAGGGAUUAAGUAGAUUGAGAUCAUAACGUUGGGAAUAGUUGGUUAUUUUGUCUCCAACAUAAGGCACACUGCAUUUAUUUGUGGGCAAAAAUUCCCUAAAGAGUGAAGACCAAGAUCACAUGUGGAGGGGUUAAAUUGAAGCAGAGGAGUGAAGAAAGCCUGAAUGAUCAUAAAGCUAAGGUUGGAGGUGAAAUGAGUCGUGACCACUGAUGUGCCAGUCUGCUUCAGUCUCUACCAAGCCCAGAACUUCACCCUCUAUCAGGUCCUGAGGAAAAGCAGCUUCCACGGUUUAUUUCAAGCUGGAUGAGGAUCCAAUUGAUGCCAUAUCCCUGUUGUAGCCUUUUGUGGUGAGACAAGGCGCUCAUCAGGACAGCAGAUUCUUCAAAGCCUUCCACACCAAUGUGAAGGACAGUAAGAUGUGGAAGUUCCUGGGUUUUGUUUUUGGACAAUGGGAACCAAGGGUGGCAUCCCUACACUCCAUAGUGUAGGGCCUGACACGAUGUAAACUCCCUCCUCCAGUAAUCAUUCAUCAAGAGUUUCAGUGUUGUGAUAACCUGUGAGUUCUCCACAUAGUGGCACAUCAUGGAGCUCAUUUCCUUCCUGGAUUACAACUGCACCUUGGACAGUGAGGGCUCUUUUGGAAGUGCACACCUAGCUGACCUGCCCUCCAACUCAAAAGUGGACAAGACCUGUUCAGAGGUGUUAAAGCACCCCCACACUCAAUGUCCAUUCAGGCCAAAAGUAUGCUCUUUGCCCCAAGGGAACCAAAGUCAUGAUGACAUAUGCCAGAGCUUGGGUAAAGGAUACAGUGAGGAUUCUUGGAUUUCAGAACAAAGUAUUCCUGGAGCCCCCUGUACUUCAUGAAGCCUAUGUCCAGCUUGUUGUCAAAGAAAUGUAGAUUAACUCAAAAGGAACACAGGAUUCUAUCGGUCCUUUUCCUAGUCCUGAAGACAAGGUCAGCUAUGUAAUAUCCAGGGCCCAGUGCAAAAUGAAAAGGCAAACUCCUUGGGCUGGGUGCGGUGGUUCAUGCCUGUAAUCCCAGCACUUUGGGAGGCUGAGGUGGGCGGAUCAUCUGAGGUCAGGAGUUUGAGACAGCCUGGCCAACAUG